rnacentral:RNase_P_RNA from 2 species
CAAGUAAAACGCCUUAUCGCUGUUCAUACAAAUGAAUGGAGGAAAGUCCGAACACCAAAGUGCAACAUAGUGGUUAAUGGCCACCAACCGUGAGGUUAGGAAAAGUGCAACAGAAAGUAUGUACAGGUAAUGCUGUAGUGAAACCCGGUAAACUCUAUGUGGUGCAAUGUCAUGUAUACCAACGUUUGAGGGCUGCACGCUCGAUUGUUGGAGGGUAGGCAGCUAAAGUGUAUGGGCAACCAUGCAUUCAGAUAAAUGAUAAGGGCUCUUUUAAGAGUACAGAAUUCGGCUUAUAGAUUUACUUAAUCA